rnacentral:lncRNA from 1 species
AUGAAGCAAUUUUUAAUACAUGGCCAACACAGGAAUUUGUUUGCUCAACUAUCUAUACCAGUUCCAGAAAAUGGUAGAAGCACUAUAACCAUACUCCUCGCUGAGACUCUCACCAGUGACCAUAAGAUGAACAAAACAAUGCCAAGGGCACUACAUGCCUACCAGUGCCCACAAAACCAGGACAUCAGGAGCAUUGCAGUGUUGGAGUCACUUGGGAGUUGGACAAGAAAAACAAGGUCAUCAUCUCCACAAGCACUUAGUACAGUGCCUGGAAGAUGCUCUAUCAUCUUGUAUUUUAAAGGAAGAAGGAUUAUGACUGUGAGAGGGAGAAAUGAGAAGAUGAGAGGGGAGACAUUCAGAGUCAGAAUAUGUGUUUGAGAAAAGAGACUAUCUGCUAACCAAACCACUCUCUGACACCAUCUACUGGGCUUCAGCGCUUCAGGACUAUCCACUAAGGCAGUGAUGGACAACCUUUUGAGCUUGUUGUGUCAAAAUCCACCAAAAAACAGAGCAUAACUUGGGUGGUAUGUCACUUCAAGGAAAAAAAGCAUAAUUUUUCAAUAUUUAUAGUUUAAAUAACAAAAAUGUAUAAUUGUAAUAUAUAACUGUAUUUAAUAAACCAAAAA